rnacentral:rRNA from 1 species
UACAGAGGGUGCAAGCGUUAAUCGGAAUUACUGGGCGUAAAGCGUGCGCAGGCGGUUCGUCGUGUCCGAUGUGAAAGCCCCGGGCUCAACCUGGGAAUGGCAUUGGAAACUGGCGGACUCGAGUGUGGCAGAGGGGGGUGGAAUUCCGCGUGUAGCAGUGAAAUGCGUAGAGAUGCGGAGGAACACCGAUGGCGAAGGCAGCCCCCUGGGCUAACACUGACGCUCAGGCACGAAAGCGUGGGGAGCAAACAGG